rnacentral:lncRNA from 1 species
CUCUGUCCUCUCCCUCCCACUACCGACUCCGCUAAACCACGCCCCCCUCGCCACACUGUUCAUUCACUACUAUGAAUUGAUGGAGGUCAGAUAAAAAAAGCUAGACUAUACAUGUGGCAAGCAAUGCAAGCGACUAAUAGGAGAAGUCAUUUCUCACCAUGAUGGAUGAAUGAUUCCGACUUACCACAGUUGUUUGAACUUGUGAAAAAUGGAGCAAGAGAGAGAAAAGAAAUGAUAUGCCAAAAACACGCUCCCGCACCUGUGAUGUAA